ACGGAAGGCAGCAGUGGGGAAUAUUGCACAAUGGGGGAAACCCUGAUGCAGCAACGCUGCGUGAGUGAUGAAGUAUUUCGGUAUGUAAAGCUCUAUCAGCAGGGAAGAAGAUGACGGUACCUGACUAAGAAGCACUGGCUAAAUACGUGCCAGCAGCCGCGGUAAUACGUAUAGUGCAAGCGUUAUCCGGAUUUACUGGGUGUAAAGGGGGCGCAGGCGGUCCUGCAAGCCAGAGGUGAAAACCCGGGGCUCAACCCCGCGGAUUGCCGUUGGAACUGUGGGACUUGAGUACUGGAGGGGCAGGCGGAAUUCCUGGUGUAGCGGUGAAAUGCGUAGAUAUCAGGAGGAACACCGGUUGCGAAGGCGGCCUGCUGGACAGAAACUGACGCUGAGGCUCGAAAGCGUGGGUAGCAAACAGGAUUAGAUACCCUGGUA
rnacentral:rRNA from 1 species